UUCCCUGCCAGGAGCGACACCAUGAUCAAGAAGGUGGUUUUCCCAGGGUGAGGCUCAUCCAUUGGCCUCAGGAUGUGCUGACCCCUGCGAUUUCCCCAAGUGCAGGAAAGUUGGUACAUAAUUUGUGGUAGUGAAGAGCUGCAUUUGUGCUCUCCCCU